AUGCAACCACGCCUAUACUCUCCAAUGCCAUCUAACAAUUUCUUCUACAAAUACAAACUCGAUGAAGAAACAAUGGCGCUGUUCUUACUAAAAGUGUAAGGUUAAGAUACCUUAAUUUUAUAUUCAAUGUUUAUUUUAAAAGUAAAUUUAUAAAUAAGUUUAAUCCUAUAACUUUUUAAAGUGAUGUACUUUCGUUGUGUGUAACAAAUAUGUCAAAUUAAUACUAAUAUUCAAGAAAAUCAUUUGCAUAACCAUACUAUCUAUAUUUGUAGAUGAAUCAUAAAAUGAUAUUUUAUUCGUAAUGUAUUUGUUGCGAAUUAUUCGAUAUCAACAACAGGCUAUUUUUUCGCUAACUGCAAGAGAAUCGUUUCUAAGUAAUCUAUUCAAAGGAGACUAGUUCAAUUCUUGCACAAUUCAAGAUAGACUUCAACUCUAUAUUUAAAAUAUCUAUUAAAGAGGAACACAAGAAAUAAAAGAUUCUAUCAGACAUUUAUAAAGUUGGUUGGGAAAUAUUGGAAACAGAUGCAAUUUAUAUAUUCAAGAUAAAAGUGAAAUAAGUGACAUGCGAGGCAAUUAAACAACAUAAUAAGAAGAGAGAAUAGUGAUGGUACCAUUCCAUCAUUUUCAUUUCAAUGGAAAUACUUUUUGGAGUAUCUGUAUCCACAUAUUUGGCAGUUAUUGAUUUCUUUCUCACACCCUAAUCGUCGCUCCGUUAAAUAUUUGGAUACCACAAUUUAUUGGGAAUAUUAUGAAUUCAGUAUAUUCAGGAAUAUAUUCAGGAAUAUCAUAAAAAUCAGUAUUGUCAAAGAUAUUCCAAAAUAAAGGAAAUGAUUCUACAAGGAAUACUUUGGAAAUCCUUCUGAGUUCAACAUUUAUGUUGGCACAUGUAUAUGUAAGAACGUUGCAGCAGAAAACAGAGAAACAACGGUAUUUUCUAAAGAAGUUGAACAUGCAUCUGAGUUAUAUGUGAAUGUAGACGAUUUGAUAUUGGUUUGUAUCAAGCAAGAAUAAAUUUGUUUUUAAAUAGUAUUCUGCUUUAUACAUUGUACUUUGCUGGUCAUUUAAUGUCAAUUGGGCAAUUAACGUGCGGCGAUCUUAUGGCAUUUUUGAUAGCAAUUCAAAUAGUUCAAAGAUCUCUCUCUCUCUCUCUCUCUCUCUCUCUUUUUCUCUCUUUCUCUCUCUCUCUCUCUUUCUCUCUCUUUCUCUCCCUCUCUCUCCCUCUCUUUCUCUCCCUCUCUCUUUCAGGGAAUAUAGAAUUUAAAAAUGUAAAAUUUAGCUAUUCAACUCGGCCAGAUCACAUUAUUUUGAAAAAUUUUAAUUUGAAAAUUCCCACUGAUAAAACAGUUGCUAUUGCAGGUUCUAAUGGGAAUGGUUAAUCAACCAUUGCCGAAUUGUUAUAACAAUAUAUUUUAUAGGAAGCCGCAUAAUGCCAUCUAUUCAGAAAUUCUGGGAUUCGCUAAUAUAUAAAUAUCAUUCUAGGUAUAUUUUUAUGUCAUUUAUUGUAUUAAAUUUUUUGUCGCGAAGAGAAUUUUUUUAAUCAAAGGAAUAAAUAGUAAUAUCUUCAAAAAUGAAUCUUUGGAUUCAUAUCACAUGUCAAAAUACGAUUAAGGAAAUUGCUCUCUGUCAAUUGAUGCCGGAAUUCCUACUUCAGAGGGAUUGACGUAGCCGAUCUUUGUAAGAUUAUCAUGCACCAUCGUUCGCGCAAUGUUUAAGGUAUCCGGCAAUUCACAAAUCGCGGAUUUUUAACCAUGGCCUUGAUUAGUUCCGUAUACGUAGUGGAUAGGCAGUGGCUGCGUUCUUCAUCUUCCAGUUCCAAAACUCCUUAACCAACUGUGAACUGUCAAAAUCACACCCAUGCAUGGUGUAAAUCUUAUUUGUGAUUUUAUGAUAUCAACGAGAAAAUAAUGAUGUCGAUAAUCAAUAUUUCUAUUGAUAAAUGAAAUAUUAGAUCUCUUAGAGGUACUAUAUUAGUGUAUAUAAAUCAAGAAUACAUGCUUUUUUGCAACUAAUAUAAUAAGGAGAAUAAUAAAUAUGAGAAGCAAGAUACGAUUGGUGAGAAGGCGAAUAAUAAUGUGUGAAUAAAAAUUUUAAUAUUUUAUCAAACUAUUUCAUUAUAUAUUAUGCAUCAUUUAAUAUACCAGAUAAUAAAAGCGACAGAAAAAGCUAAUGCUAAUGAACUUAUUACAAAAUUUUCAAAUGGUUAUGAAACCCAUAUUGACGAGACAAGUGGUCAAUUAUUUAUUAUGGUGAACAAAAACUGCCAUUACUAGAGCAUUAGUAAAGUAAUCGUCAAUUUUAAUAUUAAAAGAAGCAAGCGCAAUGGAUUAUGAAAGUAGAAGCGCUAUGAAUUAUAAAAGUAGAAGCGCAAUGGAUUCAGAAAGCAGUAGAAAAUAUAACCAGAGAUAGAAUAGUAUUAGUUAUUGAUCACAGACAAAGUAUUAUUCAAUCGAGUGAUAUUUUUGUUGGAUUUCAACAAGGUGUUACGUAGAGUUUAUGCAAAGAAAAUAUACGAAAUAGAUUUUGGAAACUAAAACCAUUAAAUACGAUCAAAGAUAAAUAACAAGACUGAAACGUGAAAUUCAAAAUCAAUAAUGCGUUUUAAUAUUUUUUUAGAAAACUGUAGAAAAGUAUAAAACGUAAUAAAAAAAAUAUAAAAAAUAAUAAAGAAGUAAAAAAUAAUAACAAUAAAAUAAUAUAAUUACGAACAAAUUCAGAUCGGUAAAUAGCAAAUAAUAACGGAAAACAAGGGAACAUGUUGCUAAUGUUAAAAUAGGGGAUCUCCCCGAUCGGUCAUGCAGCUACUUACUUUAAAGUUGGGAGAUCUCCCCAUUCGGUUGGCUAAAUGUUAAAUAUAAUUUAAACGUUAAUUUAAUAAUUGAAUGAUGCAAAUUUUCUUUAAAUUAAUUUAAAAAUCUAAAUUUUCAAUGUCAAAAUAAAUUGAAAUUUUUUUUGUCGAUAACUACGAUUAAAGUGACGAGUAAAAUAAAAACCUACAUGUUUAUUCCGUUAUUUUAGUCACUUUCGUAUUACAAUAGUUUUUUAUUAUUUAGAAUUUUCUUUUAGUCAUGAUAGUUAUUUAUAGUACUCGUACCAUAUUAUUAUGACAUAUAUCAUGAUAAUAACAAAUAUGGACACCAAUGCGAUCCAUGAGUUUUUGCAGCAUAGACCUUCCCCUCUGCUGCUCCCGGAUCUAUAAAGUCGGUACCACAAGCGAAUAUAAUGGAUGCUGAUAAUGAAAAAACAUGGUUUAAAUACCUGUCAGUUGCCGAAGAAGAUGUUUGGCCAAGCAUGGAAUGUUCACCGUUCGUCGUUGAUGUUUGGUCGGAUGAAUCGAAACUACCCGUCAUUGUAUUCAUUUCGAUUACAUCUCGCACUGACUGUUUGGCUGGAUGAGUUAGUUGGACACUGAUACUGAGAUGGAUGAACUUAGUUUGACGCGAAUUGCUCGAUGUAAAGUACUUACGAACGUCUGAUUCGUACGGCGUACUGCGAGCAAAUGACGAAAAGGGCAGGUCGUCAACGCAUCUCGCAAACGCAGUCGUCCUUCCCACGGGAAUGGUACCGUUGCGUCGAUUGGGGUAGGGGUAUCACUAGGUGGAUCAGAGUAGGGGUACGUGAUGGUGGGUGAAGCUUUCAGAGCUUGCCUUCUAUCUAUAGCUAGAAAUGUUCGUGAUAAAAAAAAAAGUUUCUUUCCUGUGGUCGAACCAAUCCGUCGUUCCUUCAUUGUUCUCCAAUGGCUGGAAUACUUUCAUUUCGAGAAAAUUCACCUCAUCCGGCGUUGACGUCAAAGCUUUGGCGUAAUCUCGAAUAUCAAAGAAGGAAAAUAGAAUAAUACGUAUUUACGCAUCUAUAUAUCUAUUUUUUGUGUUAUGAGUACAUAUUAAAAUGCGUAACGAUCAAGUUCACCGGAAUUAUACCAAUUAUACCAGAAUUAUAAACGGCUUCAAGAAUUUUUGAAGUGCUUCUUGAGAAUAUUAUAAAUCGACGUUCAGAAUUUAAAGACAAUGCAUUUCCUUUUCAAGCAUCGUACUUAUUUUGAAAUAAUACGAAGAAGAAGAAGAGAAAAUUUAUAAUGGCCAAUGACAACGUACUUUGACGAUAUAGGCUAAUACGGCGUAAUUUCAAGAAAAAUUCAAAUGGUGGAGCGAGAAAAUAGAAUACAUUCUUCAAAGGAUAGAAAGAUGGACAGCUUCAGUUAGAGGAUACGAUAGAUUUACGUCAGAAAAGAUUAUCGAAGGGUCAUCAGUUGACGAUGCACGACGAUCAGCGUGUAUCAAGUUGUACUAUUACUUCGAACAAACUUAUCAUUGAGAAUUCUUCUUAGGGUCUUCUAUGCUUUCAAAGGAAGUCGAUUAAGUUAUUAGAUGUCGUAUCACAAAGAGGAAAUGAAGAACAAUUAUAAUGUUGACAGUGUUCUUGGAUAUCGAUCUAAUGAUAAUUUGGAUAGCCUUUUGUUAAAAAAAUUGUAAAUAUGAUCAUAGUAUUUAUUUUAAAACCAUCGGUGGAAUUAUAAAUGAUAAAAAAAAUCGUAAAAAAAUUAACGAUGAUUCUAAAAAGAGAAAAUUUGUUAAUCAAUGCUGAAGUAAAAGAAUUGAACAAUGAAGAUUCCAGAGAUAAAUUUAAUUCUAGUCAAAAGGAUGUUGGUGUCUGGCCUAUCAUCGAUUUAGCAAAUGUCGAUUUUUUUUAUCGAAAAUAUCUAACACGGCGUAUCGACGAAGAUUAAAUGGAUGAUCAAUAAUAAUAAAAAAAAAAACAAAAAAAAAAAAUAAUAAUAAUAAUAAUAAUAAUAAUGAUAAUAAUAAUAAUAAUAAUAUUAUGAAAAUGGUACGGAGAAUAGGAAUGAUUAUGAGAGAAGUAGGUUUAAUCAUGAAUUAAAAAAUGAGUUGAGAAAGAAUCAGAAUGAAACUAUGAAUUUAAAGAUGCUUAAAUCUGUGGGGACAAUUAAUUGAUUUAUUGUUUGGUAAGAUAAUAAUGUUUGUCCGGGAAUACUUUUAAAUGAUACGAAAAAUCUUCUGUCCAUGUAUUCGUUACCGUGUUAACGUUUAUUUAAUAUGAAAUUCUAUAUUUCCAAACGUUUUUUCCAAUACUCAUCACAUAUGUCAUACGAUAUCUGUUUCAUGGACUCUCUUUUUAAAAGAUAUACCAAAGAGAUAUACCAAAAGGAACGAAAUAGACGUUAGCAUAGAUCAAAUUUCUACUCAUCAAUUGUUAAAGGGAAUUAGAUUUCUACAUACAUAAUAUAUUUCGAAUUCUACAUACUGCCACCCGUUUUUUCACAUCUCUUCAUUUGAUUUGUUUUAUCGUUCUUUCCUAUCGUAUCGUUGAAUAUGCAGGGAAACCGCGCUUGCGUUCUUCCGCGUCUGCGUCCUGCGUAGGGGCGCGCGGAAUUGUAUGCAUGUGUACAAAUGUUUCUCUUUCAGAAGAUUCUUAAGAAAUUUAAUUACGAAGAUAAACCUUUCCACUUGUUUCUCCUCUCACCAAAUCAUAAUAUACAAUUUGACAAUAAAAUCAUAUUAUCUGCAUCAUUUAAUUACCUCUAAUUACUUCAUAUGUCAUUAAUUUUGUUCUUUUUAUUAUUACAUUUCUAUAAAAAUUUACGAUGGAUAUGGGUAUGGAGAAUGAUGAUCGAUACGAGAUAUAUAUAAAGGAGAAAAAAAAAAGAAAAAAGAAUUAUUGUUAACAGAUUAAUAUUUCUAAUGAUUUAAUGCGUAAUUUAUAUUUAGAUUUGAAAAAUAUCGUAAUAGUUAAACGGUCCAUGUUUUGAUAAAAAAAUCAAGGAUGAGAGCUGAUGGCAUGAGAGCGAAGAAAGAGAUGGAAAAAAAACUCGGGAUUCAAAUUGAUCGUAACUUCCAUUUUUUGAAAGAGGACAAAAUAUGUUACAAGGAUACACGCUGUUCCUUUCCUGAUCCAUCAUUAUACGUUAUAACAAGACAUAAUAGAAACAAAGUAAUCUGUUUAACGGGAAAGAAGAAAGGAAGGAAUGUUUUUUAAAAAAAUUUGGUAAAAAAUCCGAAGAAGAAGAAGAAAACGAUCACGAUGAAAGAUGAACAUAACUUUCUUAGCGAUCGUAGCACUGUUGGAAUUCGAUGUUGGUGCUUCUAUUUAAUCCUUUGCAACCGAGUGUGUCGGCAAAUAGCCGUCCAAGUCUCGUUCCCGUCAUGGACGCUUGUCGGCAAAUAGCCAUCCAAGGCUUUUUCUCCUCGCGGACGCGUGUCGGCAAAUAGCCACCUAAGUCUGUACAGUUACUAACACGUAUUUAAAAGUGGCUAACGUACGUCUUUCUUUCUGAGUGAUAAGAUACGCAUUGAGUAUGGUAAACUAAACGGGAUAGUCUCUCGUCGAUCGAUGCCGGCUGCAAAAAAUAUUUAAACUUACCACAUGUCCGAAGGAUUGCACGAAGGAAGGAUUUGCACAAGAAUACCAUGAAAGCUUAUGCUUAGGAUGUAAUGAGAAAAGAUCAAACGUCGAUACCAUGCAAUCUACCGUAAAUUUACAUUGCUGCUGGGGCAAAGAGUGACUAUACAGCUUGAUUGUCCGUGAAUUUGCCCAAUAUUCCUACUGAUCCUAAUAGCAUAUAUACCGAGUAGGUUUUUUUAGAAGCUUGUAUUAAGUACCAUUAAUAUUAUUACUGUUACGUUAUUUUCAUUAAUUGGUGCAUUUUAUGAAAAGGUACGAACAGUACAAACAGAUUCGUUAGAUCAAGAAUUGCUUAAAGUAGAAAGUUCUUUCGUAAAAUAUUGAUCCACCGAUGGUCGAUUUUGUACUGACAUCUACUGUUAUUAGCAGAUUUAGAAGAAAAUGAUGAUUCCAAUUGAAUGGCAAAAGAACCAAAUUUUAUUCCAUAAAACAUUUUCAAAUUCUAUUGAAGAAGAAUUAGUAAAGCUUUAUGAUUUCAAGGAGCUGAAAAAGAUUAUGUUGGAAAUAGAAAAAUAAAGUGGAGUACCUAUAAUAUUGACUGGUAUCAUAGGCUCUGUCGAAUCUGAUCCAGAAUAUCAAUUGAUCAUUGAAGCAAUUGAUAUACCAGUUGAAGGAUCUGGAAAUAGUUCAUCCGCAAGCUGCAGAAGAAAAAGUAAAUGAACUCAAUGUUAAAUACUUAUCAAAUAAUUUAUUCAAAAUAAAUCUUAAUGGAAAUUUCUGUUAUAUAUAUAUAUAUAUAUAUAUAUAUAUAUAUAUAUAUAUAUAUAUAAACUUUAUUAGAUUUAGAAAUAUUAUUAUUUAACAUUUAAACAAAAACUUGAUAUUCUUUUAUCUCUGACAUUGUUCAUGUAAGCGCAAAUACUAUCAAAUAAUUUAUUUAUGUCUUUUUAGGCAAUCUAAUAAUAAAUGAAGCAAUAAAAGUUUCAGACUGAUUCACUUUAGUGUGCGUGCUUGCGUGCGUGUGUGCGUGCGUGCGUGUGUGUGUGAGAGAGUACACAUUUUUUUUCAGGAAAAAGCAUGCAUACAAUAGAAUUCUUGAUUGCCAUCCGAAUACAUUGACUUUUUUACAUGAAGUCACAAUUAGUAAAUCACAAUGGUAGACGAUUGCAACAUCUUUAAAAGAAUCAAAAUAUCUUAAGUAACAAUAUUUCGUGAAUCAUUAUAUAAUAUCGAACAUACUUCUUUAGAGAUGGGUAGAGAUAUGCAGCAAUAAAAAAAAGAAAUACAAACUAAAUUUAACUUUGAUUUUGUUAUAU